AUGUCACUUGAGGUACCUAGGUCUUGUCAGUACAAAUAUCCAUCAACUCCCAACAGAAAUAGGAAAGUUUCUAUUUUUGCAAGUGUUGGAUGUAAGAUACAAUUCUGGCCCAAAAGAAUUACCAUCCACUGUUUGCAAGAUGAAAAGAUUGAUGUGUCUAGUCUUGAUGGUUAUCACAUGAGCCUGCCGAAUGGGCUGGGGAAUUUGACAUCCUUGGAAGUGUUAAAGAAGAUCUGUGCCACACUAAACAUUGUGAAAGAGCUGCACAAGCUAUCAAUGCUAAGGGAGCUCAAAAUUUAG
rnacentral:rRNA from 1 species